rnacentral:misc_RNA from 1 species
CGCUGCCGACAAUGCAGAUUUCGUUGCCGCGCUUCAGAAAUAUUGCGAAGGCGAAUACGACGAGGCGACAAUUGCGCGGCUUUGAGCGACACUGAUCUCAUGAAACAGACACCCGUUCUUUCANNCCAUCGCCAGCGCGGUAUUGACCGUGCCGACGAGGGGCGAAGGCUUCAUCGACAUCACGAGCGAGGUUGCGCGGUUUCUGAAACAGGCCGGCGGCCGGGCGGGGGCUGUCACCCUGUUCAUCCGGCAUACGUCUGCAUCCCUGACCAUUCAGGAGAAUGCCGAUCCCGAUGUGCUGGCGGAUCUG